CCAAUAGCGUAUAUUAAAGUUGUUGCAGUUAAAAAGCUCGUAGUUGAAUUUCGGGAUCAGCGCGUCGGUCGUGCCUCCGGUAUGCACUGGCGCCGCUGGUUUCUCCCUUCUGAGGAACCGUGAUGUCAUUAAUUUGGUGUCGCGGGAAAUCAGGACUGUUACUUUGAAAAAAUUAGAGUGUGUAAAGCGGGCACGCGCUUGAAUACAUUAGCAUGGAAUAACGAAAUAGGACGUUCGAUCUUAUUUUGUUGGUUUCUAGGAUUGACGUAAUGAUUAAUAGGGAUAGUUGGGGGCAUUAGUAUUCAAUUGUCAGAGGUGAAAUUCUUGGAUUUAUUGAAGACUAACUACUGCGAAAGCAUUUGCCAAGGAUGUUUUCAUUAAUCAAGAACGAAAGUUAGGGGAUCGAAGACGAUCAGAUACCGUCGUAGUCUUAACCAUAAACUAUGCCGACUAGGGAUCGGAUGAUGUUAAUUUUAUAAUGACUCAUUCGGCGCCUUACG
rnacentral:rRNA from 1 species